rnacentral:rRNA from 1 species
ACGCUCGACACCUACGGGAGGCGGCAGUGGGGAAUAUUGCACAAUGGGGGAAACCCUGAUGCAGCGACGCCGCGUGAGCGAAGAAGUAUUUCGGUAUGUAAAGCUCUAUCAGCAGGGAAGAAACUGACGGUACCUGACUAAGAGGCACCGGCUAAAUACGUGCCGGCAGCCGCGGUAAUCUGAGCGGGCUGGCAAGGC